GCUGAAAAAGAUAUACAGAUAUAGAAGAACAUGAAACUAGAGAAAAGUGAAAAAGAAGCUAGUCGACUUGAAAGAAUACAAAAUUGAAAGCAUGAAUAUAAUUGAGUUCUCAAUUCCUUAAUAUGCCUUUCUCUUACAUACAAACAUGACUCAUAUCCAAUUGGUGACCCCAAGUUCAAGAGAAAUACCUGAUAAAAUUAAAGAAAAAAGAAAGUGAGAAGACCAACAUCAGCAGAAGGUGAACUUCAGCAGAUCAAAAACAGCAAAAUUUAGCUUGUUUAAACCAUUUCGAUCCCAGAAAGAGUCGAAAAUUACUUCAAACUUUUGAAAACCCAAAAACUGACCUACAAUGCUCCAAUGAAACAGUGUUUUGUGCUGUGUUGUUUUGUAUUUUUCUUAUGAUAUUCAGACCUUUUCAGUGUUGAAUAUUUUCUUUCAACCGCCUCUUAUUUUGCAAGGUCUGAUCUAGGGGUGCUUAUCGGGCGGAUUGGACGGCUUUUUACUCUUAACGGUUUGGCUUAACGAUUAUCGGCUUUUAAAUGUAUUCAUAUGUUAGCCACCCGAUAAGAUAUCGGGCGGAUUGAUAUCGUAGUAGCUCUUAUCGGGCGGUUAUCGGGCGGUUUAUCGGUUUAAUACCUAUGGGGGUUAUUGAAAAGCUUAUACUUUUCUUACUGCUGUAAAUUGUUGCUGCAAUGUUAUACCGAAUAACAAUACUUGUACAAUACUAAAUGUCUAAAAAGCAUAAGACAUUUGCAAAUUGUACACAUUUUCUGUCCGCGCUACAUUGUCCAGUUCAAUUUCUACUUCUUCUCCUAUUUCAAUUACAUGAAAAACACAAAAGAAAUACAGUCUCAUACUUGCUGUAAUAGGAGGAACACAGCUCAUACAGGGACGCUCAACAAUCAACUUCAAGUCUUCAACAUGUUGAAAAGAAGAAGAAAAAUGGUUUAUCUUGCUGGUGCUAUUGGCUGCUUUUAUACUUAACUGAUAAGACAAAGAAAACAAAUGUGUAGUAGUAGUUUUCGUUUACAGUUCUGCUUUGCUAUAUCUAGAAUCUAGAUAUCCAUUUUUUGGCAAGCCAUACCAUAAUAGGCUUAGCUACAUUCACAUAGCAUCACCAAAUAAUGCUACUUAUAACUUUGUUUAAUUUUGUUAUUCAUUUUCAACUUUCAAUGGUUUAAUUUUUUAUAUUUAAUAUAUAUAAAUAAAAUAAAAUUUAUAUAUAUUUAUAUUCUUAACGGGUUACCCGUUAAGAAAAUUAAAUCAUCCGUCCCCAAUCCGAUAAGCCGAUAAUAAAAAAAUUAAUCAGUUCCCCGUCUGUUAAUCCGUUAAACCGUUACCAGUAAGUUAUUAAGCUUCGGUUUCGGAUUGGUUUUCGGUUUCAGAUCGGUUUUGAACACCCCUAGUCUGAUACCCCUGAAAAUUUCAGUUUAAUGAAGAUUUUGUAGAGGGGGGUUAGGGCAGCGGUAAAGAGUUCAAACUUUGCUUGUUAAUCCUUUUUUAUUUUUUAUUUUUACUAUUAUGCCCCUAAUGUAAAACUCAAAACUUUCAUUUUACUCUCCAUUCCCCCUUCCUAGAAGCUUCUCAAAUCAGUUACUAGAGAUUUCCUUACCCAAAUCCCUAAAUUAACCUUCAAAACUUCUGUAUUUUACUUUCAGAGUGCCAACUUAGGUCAAGUUAACCUAAGACCCCAAAUAAAUAGAUUUCUUAACUGGGUCAGCGAGGACCACAGUUAAUACAAAAAACCAAACUAUCAUAAAUGAUCGAACCAAAGAGCGAACAGAUUCUGAAAAAGAAAAUAACAAUAAUUCAAAACUUUACGAUUAAACCUAACCUAACUACUAAACUAAAAUGAAAUCCACCAUUAAAAAGACAAGACAAAAUAAUGAAACAAAAACAAAAAAGAAGACCAAAAAAAUGCUAUAAUGAAGAGGAUCAUGAGAAAACAAAAAUAAAGAGGGGAAAGUACACUAGACCACUUGAGAUGACUCGAUAAGCGAUGAAAGGAGUCACUGAUUGGCUGGAAUGCGAUGAGUUCGCAAAAAUUCGGUGUUCUCGGAAUGAACUAAAACCAAUGUAAAUUGAUUUCUCUUGUUAAGAGAAAUCGACUAAUGUAUAUUAUAGGCCAAAGCGAGCCGGAAUUCUGCGCGAAUUUAGAAAAACAGAACAAUCUAGGGUUUGAACUUCUUAGAUUUGGAAUUGGGGGAGUUCUGUUGGGUUUUGUUUUUGGGAAAUAGGGGUAGGGAUAGUAUUUAGGAGGGCCUGGGGGUUGCAUGGUAUAAAUUUGGGGUGGUUUGGAGCCCGCCGCCGGCGGAGAUGGUGGAGAGAAUUGGAGGGGCAGCGCUAGGGUUAGAGGUUAGAAUCUCUGAAGGUAGGGUGAGAGAGAUAAGACAAAGGGGGGUGAAGGGUUCAGACAUAUUUAUAUUAAACAAACCCCGGUAUUGGACCG
rnacentral:lncRNA from 1 species